UGGGAACGCGAAGAACCUUACCUAGACUUGACAUCUCCUGAAUUACCCUUAAUCGGGGAAGCCCUUCGGGGCAGGAAGACAGGUGGUGCAUGGUUGUCGUCAGCUCGUGUCGUGAGAUGUUGGGUUAAGUCCCGCAACGAGCGCAACCCUUAUUGUUAGUUGCUACCAUUUAGUUGAGCACUCUAGCGAGACUGCCCGGGUUAACCGGGAGGAAGGUGGGGAUGACGUCAAAUCAUCAUGCCCCUUAUGUCUAGGGCUACACACGUGCUACAAUGGCUGGUACAGAGAGAUGCUAAACCGCGAGGUGGAGCCAAACUUUAAAACCAGUCUCAGUUCGGAUUGUAGGCUGAAACUCGCCUACAUGAAGCUGGAGUUGCUAGUAAUCGCGAAUCAGAAUGUCGCGGUGAAUACGUUCCCGGGUCUUGUACACACCG
rnacentral:rRNA from 1 species